rnacentral:rRNA from 1 species
UACAGGGGGUGCAAACGUUGCUCGGAAUUAUUGGGCGUAAAGCGCGCGUAGGCGGCCGCUUAAGUCGGAUGUGAAAGCCCCUGGCUCAACUGGGGAAGUGCACCCGAAACUGAGUGGCUUGAGUACUAAAGAGGGUCGCGGAAUUCCCGGUGUAGAGGUGAAAUUCGUAGAUAUCGGGAGGAACACCGGUGGCGAAGGCGGCGACCUGGGUAGAUACUGACGCUGAGGCGCGAAGGCGUGGGGAGCAAACAGG